rnacentral:tRNA from 1 species
GAGCCAUUAGCUCAGCUGGUGAGCAUCUGACUUUUAAUCAGAGGGUCAGAGGUUCGAAUCCUCUAUGGCUCA